GCCCCCCGGCCGCGCCGCCCGCCCGGAGCCCCCCCGCCGCCCGGCAGCAGCAGCGCCUCCGACCCGCCACCCAUCGCUGGAUGUUCCUCCACUUUACCCACCGUAUAAAACAACUUUUACCAGUAAAUAUCGGUUUAUUCCUGAAACCAGAAGCCCUAAACAUACCUUUGUUUAUAAGUUUUCCUGCUCUGCACCUCUGGGAACUGGAGCCUGCAGGACCUAGAGCCUUCUGUUGCCUGGGUGGUUCUGAUUGCUGGCAGUUCUGUAGUACAACCUUAAUCUGAGCAAUCGAGGCUGGUCCUACCUUAUCUUCAGACGUCUUGUGGAGGACUCCUGUUGCCAGUGUGGUACUCAAAAGCUGCGCCCCACCAUCAGAAGUCACUCUUUUUCGGUUGUUUUCUGUUUUCAAAAGCAGUGAUAGAUUCCCCUCUCUAGCUGUAAUGGAGAAAGGAUAAUUGCAAUGCAACUCUCUAAGAAACUGUUCAUAUGCUCACGAUUCCGUUGCAAUCCCAAAUUGGAGGAGAGCUCUGUUAAAGGUAUAUAUUAGUCUAGAUUCUUUUCUUAUUGUAAAUACUGUGAUUUUAUAAGACUGUCAAUAUUUUAUUAACUUAGGAAUAUUUAACAGAGUUUAAUCUGCGGUAGUUGGUUUGUUCAUGGGUUUAUGUUGCUGCCACUAUUGCACUACAUUCUAAUGUAAGAUUAACUUCCAGCAUGCAAACAUUGGUUUGAUGUAUCAUUGGAAAGACUAAGAGAGAAAACUCUUGCUCUUAAUCUGUGAUGCUGAUCCCCCAGUCCCCAGUUUGGAAUUGUUUAACACAACAUUAGAGGGUUUCAGGAGCUCGCGGCUCCCACAACCGCCGUCGGGUUGGAAAACUUGGAGUUUGAAACAGCCCUGGCUCUGUCACCCUGGGAGCGAGUUUGCCUCAAUAUCUGACCUGUACAGUAUGAAGUCUUUGUUUUGAGCAAAGAGACACUGUCAGGUCGAUUUUAGAGUCCUGGCUUUGAGGGAGGGAGAAGGGAGGGCACGGGGAGGGAAGCAAAACUCCCCCCCAGCCCGUGUGCGUUCAUUCCUUUUCAAUCACAAGGGGCUUAGAUCCCUUCCUGGCGGGUUUGGGUGCUUGGCUGGCAGCUCUCCCGCAGCAGCCGGCACCCCCGCAGCCGGGGCACGGGCUGGGAGCCCGGUGGCUACCGGCAGCCUCUGCGGGCCAGCCAGGCACCUGUGGUGCUGCAGCCGCAGCCAUGGCGGGCGGGAGGAAGGGCACAAGGUCUGAGACUUGAUGAUUUUUUGCCCCAAACUUUUGGUGUUUUGUGUUUAAAUCUCUCUCUCUCUUUUAGCCUGAUGGUGUCCCUUUAACAGCAUAAAGAUGUUCACGUCCUCUGAACAGGGAUUUCCGUUUCAAGGCGGGGGAGAGUUGGCCCGUUGUAAUGUGUUUGCAGCGUUAACUGGCAUAGAAACACCAAACAGUGUAACGAGUUUUCACGGGAGCCGGUGUGUUCUGAGUGUAAAAGUUGAUCUUAAUUAGAGAUGUGCCAAUCUCUACUGCUUUACUGUAGCGUUGUUACACCUAGGCAUUUCAGUUACCUGAUGAAUAUAUACUGUAACAGUAUGCUUUGUACAGAUUUAUUUAAAAUCCAUUUGAGAACUGAAAUAAAGCAGGCAGGAAAUAAAGAUAUUUAUUUUCCAUCUGACCAUGUAAGCAGGUAUCAUUCUUUUGGUUUUAGCACACUGGUGUACCACGCCUCAGAACCACUGCUUUCUCCAGCUCAUAGGAUGCUUUCCCGAGACCGUGGAUACGUGUGUGCGUACUGCCGUGUUGAUCGGUAAAUGCCAACGAUGGAGUUUGUUGCUUUUACACAUCCCAAAGAGAAGUUCUCCACCGUUCAUUGUCUGUUUUCUGACCGGAAAGGCGUGUGUUUGUGAGCAGUGUUCAUGCAAGUGCUGCCAUCCCACUCUCACUUCAGCUUACACCAGUGCCAGGAUGGGAGGAUUUUGCCUGCGUCACCUUCCCCACACGCCCCUGUCUGCAGUGGCAUCGUCAGGGAGCAACUCAGACCCGUGUCCUUUGGGCUUUGUGUACAGCAAACGCAGAACGAGAGAGAAACGAGAUGUCGAAUCCAUUAGGAAACAAACUCCUUAUUGUACAGUAGUAUGGAGAUCUCUAGUCAACCUGCCAUUAAUAAUAGAUUCUUAUUUUUUGAAUGAUCUAUUUAAAAGAACAGCAAGCAUUGUAUUUGCUAGUAAAUCUGAAGUGUUUACAUGGAAUUACUAAAUAAAUUAUUUGAUCUAA